rnacentral:lncRNA from 1 species
AUGGCCACUGGCUGGGAGAACUCUGGGCUUGGGGGCUCCCGCCUGCGUGCAGCCGUGUGUGCUCUGUCCCCAGGGCCAUGGGCAAUAUGCUUGGGCCCGGGCCCUGAAUGGCUGAGCUGGUUAAUUAGCGCUGGUGCCCAGGAAGCCCCAUCUGCUCCCGGCACGUUGUGCUGCUCCUGUCACCCCCCUGACUCCCAGACCAGGCAGAAUUCCCAGCCUACCACCCUACUGUCCCUGGAGAUGUUCCCUCCCUAAGAGCCUUGUCAUGGGGCCACAGAUAAGCUGUCACAAGUCUAGGUGAAUCCUGCUCUCUAACCAGCCUGCAGGACAGGUGGGGACAUGUGAGAUGGGUGAGGGGGGACAAGAGGGGUCAGCUCCCACUGGUGAUUGCUGGACUCUCCCUGCGCUGCCCACAGAUCCUGGGGCCACUCUCUUCCUUUGUCAGGAGCAGACACAGCCCCCACGAGGAUGGUUUAAGGCAAUCCUGGCAUCUCAGUUGGGGUCCCCCAAUGCAGAGGCUGGGACAAGGGCUGAGGUGUGGGUGGUCUAUUUGGGGGGACUCCAGCAAGCGGGGGUGAGGGAGAGCUGGUUGUGAAACAGAGAGGGAGGAAGCGCCAACGAAAGGUCCAUUAUUGAGAUUGCUGCUUGAGGCAACAGGGGUCCUGCAGGUGAGGAAGACGUCAUCGUUAAGAGAGUCACUUCCCAGAUGGGUGCCGAACGUGUGAGUCUUUCCAGGUGCCCCUCUUCUCACCCAAAUGGACAGGUGAGGGUUGGAGGGACGUGGGGAAGCCCUAAGUGGCUGCAAAAUGUGUUUGAAUCCAGAUACUGAGUCUAGAUUCUCUCUCCUACUUAAAACGACUUAAACUCAUCCAAUUUAGCAAUAUUGGUUGAACACCUCCUACUGUGUUUCAUGCAGUCUAAGCUAUCAUUGGCUGUAAGGCAAGCUGUUAUUUUAAGAAGCACUAAGAGAAAAGCUGCCAAUUUAACCACGACACACUAUCAAACAUUAGACGCUUUCCUAGUUUGGAGAUGAGAAAGUGUGAGAAGAAUGUGGGUUUUGGGGUGGGUAGUAUACGCUACAUCCUAGUGGGUACAGGGGGCACUCGUGAUCUAGAAACUGCCUUUACUCCCAGGAGAGCAGAAAUACCAUGCAGAGAGAUGUGAACAAUAGCAAGGUAGAAUAGGAUGAGGGAGACAAAUCACGUGCCUUGAGAGUCCAGGAGAAGGAGAGAUUAAUCCUGGUGGGGAGGAAUCA